rnacentral:rRNA from 1 species
UGAGUAACCUGCCCUUAACUCUGGGAUAAGCCUGGGAAACUGGGUCUAAUACCGGAUAUGACUCCUCAUCGCAUGGUGGGGGGUGGAAAGCUUUAUUGUGGUUUUGGAUGGACUCGCGGCCUAUCAGCUUGUUGGUGAGGUAAUGGCUCACCAAGGCGACGACGGGUAGCCGGCCUGAGAGGGUGACCGGCCACACUGGGACUGAGAUACGGCCCAGACUCCUAUGGGAGGCAG